rnacentral:rRNA from 1 species
UACGUAGGGGGCAAGCGUUGUCCGGAUUUAUUGGGCGUAAAGAGCGCGUAGGCGGCUUUACAGGUCCGUUGUGAAAACUCGAGGCUCAACCUCGAGACGCCGGUGGAAACCGUAAAGCUAGAGUCCGGAAGAGGAGAGUGGAAUUCCUGGUGUAGCGGUGAAAUGCGCAGAUAUCAGGAAGAACACCCGUGGCUAAGGCGGCUCUCUAGUACGGUACUGACGCUGAGACGCGAAAGCGUGGGGAGCGAACAGG